rnacentral:rRNA from 1 species
GAUGAACGCUGGCGGCGUGCCUAACACAUGCAAGUCGAGCGAUGACGUUUCCUUCGGGAAACUGAUUAGCGGCGGACGGGUGAGUAACACGGGGGCAACCUGCCUUGUAGAGGGGAAUAGCCUUCCGAAAGGAAGAUUAAUACCGCAUAACAUUACUAAGUGGCAUCACUUGGUAAUCAAAGGAGCAAUCCGCUACAAGAUGGGGCCUCGUCGCAUUAGUUAGUUGGUGGGGUAAUGGCCUACCAAGAAGACGAUGCGUAGCCGACCUGAGAGGGUGAUCGGCCACAUUGGGGCUGAGACACGGCCCAGACUCCUACGGGAGGCAGCAGUGGGGAAUAUUGCACAAUGGAGGAAACUCUGAUGCAGCAACGCCGCGUGAGCGAUGAAGGUCUUCGGAUCGUAAAGCUCUGUCUUUAGGGAUGAUAAUGACAGUACCUAAGGAGGAAGCCACGGCUAACUACGUGCCAGCAGCCGCCGUAAAAC